rnacentral:rRNA from 1 species
UGACGACCAUAGAGCGUUGGAACCACCUGAUCCCAUCCCGAACUCAGAAGUGAAACGAUGCAUCGCCGAUGGUAGUGUGGAGUUUCUCCAUGUGAGAGUAGGUCAUCGUCAAGCA